UUAAACAGCACGGAGGAAAGAGGUGACCGCGGUGUCUUUCACAUGGACAGAACUCCUUGUUGCCCUUUGGAAAGGCAAGCGGGAGGCCCUGGUCCCUGCCAGCAGCCCGCUUGCUGGGUUGCUGCGGGGUCAGGUCUUUAGAGCUCGGGGAAACCGUCAAGUGGUACAAAUCACCGUGGCUGGUAAAGCCCCCCUUACUGCUGAUGGGCUGCCUGACUCAUAUCCAUCUCCCCGGCAAAAAAUAAGUUUUUGUUAUUGCUGGCUGGG
rnacentral:lncRNA from 1 species